AUUUUUCUCUCUUUUGUUGGUCUGCAUGAGUUUCAAACCCCGUAUUUGCUUGCUGCAAUGCAGAUGUUGUUUCAGGAAUGCAAAUCAGAAUGAUAAAGCUGAAACUGACAAAUCAACAAAAAAACUAUACCAUUCUGGAGGAGGAGGAUGAACCAAACCCCUGUUGGAGCAUGCAUGAAAUGUAUCCAAUCAAGACUGCACCAAUAACCAUCAAAAUAUCUGCACAAGAACGAAAUACAUCAGAAAAGGGCUUGCUCAUUCAAGAAUGAUUAGUACUAUAUCAUUUUAGAACUUUUGAGGACUUUAGUGGCCGGUUUCUUAUAUUCCCACAUGCAGGCAACAUUUCAAUAGCCUAAAGUACGACAAAGUAACUUGCUUUCUCUUCUUCAUUCUUCUUUCUCCCCUGCCCCAGCCAACACACAUCAUUCUGAUGUAGCCUGUUAAGGUCAACUAAUAGGUCAACUCAGUGAUCAAAUAUGAAAUUACAGUAAGACUGAUUUCCCUUCAUCAAACCACAUAAGAACCCUGACCUUGUCAGUUGGACACUCACUACAGUACCAAAAAGGCUCAAGAAAGGCAAGUAAUUCAUAGACUAAUUUGAGUGAUUUAUCGGUAGUCAUACAAUUUUUGUGUGUCAUAUUUGUUGGACUUAUUAAGACAAGAUCAAUAGAUAUCUCUAAGUCCAUUGGAGUAGUAAAAGUCAGACAAAGCCAAUUCAAUGAUGAACAUGAAUGAGAAAUUUUGAUGAGAAGUUUACUCAAUUAUCGACUGAUAACAGCAAUUGCAUCUGCCAAAACUAAUAACUUCCUAGAGGCUAAUGCACUAUCAAAAUAUAUACUCAAACUGUGCAUGAUUUGUGUAUUAAUCCUCCACAUAAAUAUUGUUUAGCUAUCAUAAAUAAGAAAUCAAUUUCAAAUUGCUAAAACAGACCUCCGACUAAAGUCAUUGCUAUCCUAGAGGAGCCCCCCAGUGAAACUAACAAUGAAGAUUGGCCUAUUAUCCAUCUGAAUAAUUAAAAA